UUUAAUUCCGAGGACGUGAAGUUAUGAAAAUGCCCUUAAACGGGACUAAGGGGCGUAAAAUAUGUUGUAACUUGAUGAUUUGGGGAUUGGGUAGGAACCCCACAUCCCUCAAAUCUCUCCCUCAUUCCCGUACCUUGUCUCUCUCUCUCCUCCCUCACAAAUCUCUCAUUCUCUCUGUAAGUUCUCUCUCUCUCUCUCUCUCCUUCGAACUCACACGGACCACCCACAAACCACCCCAAAACUAUACCAACGCAGGAUCUAAGACCACCAUCGUACUCCUGAGGACCACACGAACACGAUGGUACCAAUUUCAGCUUGUAGGAAGCUUGGUGAGGUCCUAAGGAAGCUCGGAGUGCUUCGUUUGAAGGAUUUGGACGUCGGGAUCACGAACUGUAAGUCCGGCCGAAUUUUCGUGAUUUUUGGAAAAGUUUGAUUCCGUUGUUUUUAGGCCCUAAAACUAGUCCAACGUGGUAGAUUAUGAUUAGGGCUUCAUUUUGGUAUAGAUUACAUGAAAAAUGGACGUAAGAACAAGGAGAAUGACAAGUUCAAAGUUUGGCCGGAGCUUUCGGGGCUUUUUCCGGCGAAUCCACGGCGAGUUAGGGGUCAAGGAAGAAAUUCCGGCAAAACACUAUUUCCGGCGAAACCAGUCCGGCGACGCGAGGAAGAAGACGCGCGCGUGGGCAGCGCGUGAACAGGGCGCGUGGGGGCGCGUGAGAGCUCCAAAUUGAGUUCUGAAAAUUGUCACGCGUUCGUGACGUCGUGUAGAUCACCGUGGUAUAUUUAUACACCCAAAUUGAGUAACGUAUGAGAAAGUUAUGGACGAAUGUUUGGUGUAUGCGCGUUAAAUAACGUCAAUUUGGUUACUUUUUGUAUAGGUGAAAAUUAUACAGAGGAAGAAUGUAACCAAGCUAGGGGAGGUUCAGGGACCUAUGAGACGUCGAUGUGAUCAAUUCAAGAAUUGCAAAGGUGUGGUGACUACGAGGAAAUUCAACGGUGUUCUGACAGAAUGGACCAAAUAAGGACUCAUCUUCGGGUGUUGUAUUUUAGAAGUUGUAUAUUUUAAAGCUUCCGAACUGUGCAAAUGGUUACGUCACUCUCACGUGACGGCCAGCAUGCCCUCCUUCGGGACGGGGUGUGUCAG